GACGAACGCUGGCGGCGUGCUUAACACAUGCAAGUCGAGCGAAAAGGCCACUUCGGUGGUACUCGAGCGGCGAACGGGUGAGUAACACGUGAGUAAUCUGCCCCUGGCUUUGGGAUAGCCACCGGAAACGGUGAUUAAUACCGGAUACGACCACUUCUCGCAUGGGAUGGUGGUGGAAAGUUUUUUCGGCCAGGGAUGUGCUCGCGGCCUAUCAGCUUGAUGGUGAGGUAAUGGCUCACCAUGGCUUCGACGGGUAGCCGGCCUGAGAGGGUGACCGGUCACACUGGGACUGAGGCACGGCCCAGACUCCUACGGGAGGCAGCAGUGGGGAAUAUUGGACAAUGGGCGGAAGCCUGAUCCAGCAACGCCGCGUGAGGGAUGACGGCCUUCGGGUUGUAAACCUCUUUCAGCAGGGACGAAGCGCAAGUGACGGUACCUGCAGAAGAAGCACCGGCCAACUACGUGCCAGCCGCCGCGGUAA
rnacentral:rRNA from 1 species